rnacentral:rRNA from 1 species
GACGAACGCUGGCGGCGUGCUUAACACAUGCAAGUCGAACGGAAAGGCCCUGCUUUUGUGGGGUGCUCGAGUGGCGAACGGGUGAGUAACACGUGAGUAACCUGCCCUUGACUUUGGGAUAACUUCAGGAAACUGGGGCUAAUACCGGAUAGGAGCUCCUGCUGCAUGGUGGGGGUUGGAAAGUUUCGGCGGUUGGGGAUGGACUCGCGGCUUAUCAGCUUGUUGGUGGGGUAGUGGCUUACCAAGGCUUUGACGGGUAGCCUGCCUGAGAGGGUGACCGGCCACAUUGGGACUGAGAUACGGCCCAGACUCCUACGGGAGGCAGCAGUGGGGAAUAUUGCACAAUGGGCGGAAGCCUGAUGCAGCAACGCCGCGUGCGGGAUGACGGCCUUCGGGUUGUAAACCGCUUUCGCCUGUGACGAAGUGUGAGUGACGGUAAUGGGUAAAGAAGCACCGGCUAACUACGUG